rnacentral:rRNA from 1 species
GAUGAACGCUGGCGGCGUGCCUAAUACAAGCAAGUCGAGCGAACAGACGAGGAGCUUGCUCCUUUGACGUUAGCGGCGGACGGGUGAGUAACACGUGGGUAACCUACCUAUAAGACUGGGAUAACUUCGGGAAACCGGAGCUAAUACCGGAUAAUAUUUCGAACCGCAUGGUUCGAUAGUGAAAGAUGGCUUUGCUAUCACUUAUAGAUGGACCUGCGCCGUAUUAGCUAGUUGGUAAGGUAACGGCUUACCAAGGCAACGAUACGUAGCCGACCUGAGAGGGUGAUCGGCCACACCGGAACUGAGACACGGUCCAGACUCCUACGGGAGGCAGCAGUAGGGAAUCUUCCGCAAUGGGCGAAAGCCUGACGGAGCAACGCCGCGUGAGUGAUGAAGGUCUUCGGAUCGUAAAACUCUGUUAUUAGGGAAGAACAAACGUGUAAGUAACUGUGCACGUCUUGACGGUACCUAAUCAGAAAGCCACGGCUAACUACGUG